rnacentral:tRNA from 1 species
GCCUUCGUGGUGUACCGGUAGCACAUUCGGCCCGUAUUCGAGAGGUUCAGGGUUCGAGUCUCAGCAAGGGUA